AACGAACGCUGGCGGCAUGCCUAACACAUGCAAGUCGAACGAGACCUUCGGGUUUAGUGGCGCACGGGUGCGUAACGCGUGGGAACCUGCCCUUAGGUUCGGAAGAACUCCCCGAAAGGGGUGCUAAUACCGGAUAAUGUCUUCCGACCAAAGAUUUAUAGCCUUUGGAUGGGCCCGCGUUGGCUUAGCUUGUUGUUAGGGUAAAAGCCUACCAAGGCGACGUUCCAUAGCUGGUUUGAGAGGAUGAUCAGCCACACUGGGACUGAGACACGGCCCAGACUCCUACGGGAGGCAGCAGUGGGGAAUAUUGGACAAUGGGCGAAAGCCUGAUCCAGCAAUGCCGCGUGAGUGAUGAAGGCCUUAGGGUUGUAAAGCUCUUUUACCCGGGAUGAUAAUGACAGUACCGGGAGAAUAAGCUCCGGCUAACUCCGUG
rnacentral:rRNA from 1 species